CCGUCAUCAGCCGCUUUCUAUGUACACUGGCCUAGAUCCUUUGCUCUUCUCCAGAUCGUCAGUGUUGCUAUGUGCUUCAUGCCAUUGCUUCCGAACCUCUGUUACCAGGAACCCUGUUACAUGCUACCUGUGCCUGCCUGCCUGACCUUCUGCCUGAUCCACAGACUGAUGAUUCUUUGCCUAACCCUUCUGAAUAAGUUUGCCUGUUCGGAUUGCCUUCCCGGUUUGAUCCUUACCGGCCUCGUGACUCUUGUUUUGACAUCAGAGCAGAGCAGAAAGUGGUCUGACCGUCUUGAUCAAUGCGUUGCUGGGUCACAGGCCAGCCUUCUCUGCCGCAGCAGCUCAUUUACUGUGCUGUUGGAAGCCAAGAGGUGGAAGACACGGAAACGGAUGACCAGGCAGUUGAAGGGUGAAGGUCAAUGUGCAUGUGUGAAGUCCAUGAGGAGAUGAUGGGUGACUGUGAGAUGAAAAGGAUGAGAGAGGAGGCAUACAGCUGAAGAGGGAGGAAAGACGGGACGCGGGGUGAGGGGUGUCAGCGGGUUAAAGGUUUAAG